CGUAGGGUCCAAGCGUUAUCCGGAAUCACUGGGCGUAAAGCGUGCGUAGGUGGCGCGUUAAGUGAGAUGUUAAAACGUGGGGCUCAACCCUGUCGGUGCAUCUCAUACUGGCGUGCUAGAGGACAGCAGAGGCAAGUGGAAUUAGCAGUGUAGCAGUGAAAUGCGUAGAUAUUGCUAGGAACACCAAUGGCGAAGGCAGCUUGCUGGGCUACUCCUGACACUGAGGUACGAAAGCGUGGGGGAGCGAACAGGAUUAGAUACCCUGGUAGUCCACGCCGUAAACGAUGCAUACUAGACGUAUGGGGUAUCGACCCCCUGUGCGUCGAAGCUAACGCGAUAAGUAUGCCGCCUGGGAAGUACGGCCGCAAGGCGUA
rnacentral:rRNA from 1 species